rnacentral:misc_RNA from 1 species
UACAGAGACCUCAAGCGUUAUCCGGAUUCAUUGGGCGUAAAGCGUCCGCAGGUGGUUUUGUAAGUUCAUGGUCAAAUCCUGAUGCUUAACAUCAGGACUGCUGUGGAUACUGCAAAACUUGAGGAUGGGAGAGGCACACGGAACUGUUGGUGUAGUAGUAAAAUGCGUUGAUAUCAACAGGAACACCAAAGGCGAAGGCAGUGUGCUAGAACAUUCCUGACACUCAUGGACGAAAGCGUGGGUAGCGAAUCGG